rnacentral:rRNA from 1 species
GACAGAGGGGGCAAGCGUUGCUCGGAAUCACUGGGCGUAAAGGGCGCGUAGGCGGGAUGACAAGUCGGUCGUGAAAUCCCUGGGCCCAACCCAGGGGGGUCGGCCGAGACUGUUGUUCUUGAGGGAGGCAGAGGAGCCUGGAAUUCCCGGUGUAGCGGUGAAAUGUGUAGAGAUCGGGAGGAACACCGGUGGCGAAGGCGGGGCUCUGGGCCUCAACUGACGCUGAGGCGCGAAAGCGUGGGGAGCAAACGGG